rnacentral:rRNA from 1 species
UCAUAAUAUAAAAUAUAAUAAUUAGAGAUAAUAGUUCAUUAUAAUAUAAGAUAUAUUAGCUGGGUUAAUAGCGUCUAAUGGCAGUUUAUUAUAUAUUGUUAGG